AAUUUUGGGCAAUGGGGGAAACCCUGAUCCAGCGAUCCCGCGUGUAUGAUGACGGCCUUCGGGUUGUAAAGUACUUUUGGCAGAGAAGAAAAGGUAUCCCCUAAUACGGGAUACUGCUGACGGAAUCUACAGAAUAAUCACCGGCUAACUACGUGCCAGCAGCCGCGGUAAUACGUAGGGAGCAAGCGUUAAUCGGAAUUACUGGGCGUACAGCGUGUUUGGGCGGUUCGGAAAGAAUGAUGUGAACUCCCAGGGCUCAACCUUGGAACUGCAUUUUUAACUGCCGAGCUAGAGUAUGUCAGAGGGGGGUAGAAUUCCACGUGUAGCAGUGAAAUGCGUAGAUAUGUGGAGGAAUACCGAUGGCGAAGGCACCCCCCUGGGAUAAUACUGACGCUCAGACACGAAAGCGUGGGGAGCAAACAGG
rnacentral:rRNA from 1 species